AUAAAGUAAAACCAGGGCAAGCUCAUGAUGAAAAGAGAAUUCAUCUUCACUGGAGAGUGGAAUCAGCUUGAGGUAUCCCGUAGACUUCCCUUCUAUGAUGUCAUAAACCAGCCCCCGAGAAGGAGGAGUUUUACAAAUGUUCAAAUCUGUUAGGAAGGAAGGAUCAAGUGGCCCCCGACAGCUCCCGAGCGGAGGCAGAGCCCCCAGGCUCUACCUCCUGAGGCCCAGUCGUGCUCUCCCAAGCAUGCCUCUCUGGGAUCUGGGGAGGUUCCCGAGAGCUGGACUUUUAACUGCAGACUUGGCCCCACUUUUCCUAGUGGAUGACCUUCAGAUGCUGCUGCCUGGACCUGAGUAAUGAUGGCAUUCUCUCUUACUCCAGAGCUCAACUGUGCAUACCUGGACUAGGAUUCUGGAAAACUCUGUGCCUUUUAUUCAUUCUUGGCUAGAGAUCAUAGUCAGCACAUGGAUUAUCCUGUAGAAAUGUCAUCUCUUAAAGACGCAGUCCACUUAGACAAUGUCCUUUUCCCUGCGUCAGGUUUUCUGUGGCCUCCAGGGCCCCGCAUGAGUGCCACAACUGUCAACACACAGCGUGAGGAUGUGUGCUGCCUGUGGAAGUGUUUGUCUGAGCUGCAGCCCUGGUGUUCUUGGUUCUGGGACACACAUCGCGUGAAGACCUCUGUGGAACUGAAGCGUGCUGCAAGCUCACUAGAGCAGUCUGUUGGGGGGAUGUUGGCCUCCUUGGCUUGGAUACACCCGCGGUCUCAGCCUCUAAAAGCACUGACAAGCAGUACAAGGGACUCCUUCUCUCCUUCCUCUGCCAGUUGCCCCUGUCCAUCCAGAUGACAGCCUUCCAGCUCCAGCCAGGGCCCUCCCCUUCCUUUCCUGCCACCACCUUGACUCCUAGCCCAUGGCAUUCAAACACAGGUGAUUUUCUUGGCCACCUCAGAUAACCAAAGUGAUAGGAAAACUGGAUUUCUCCCUGAGGACCUGGCCCCUCAUUACCCCUGUCUAUAGCGUUACACUCCAGAGACCCUAACCCAGCCUUAACCACCAGCAAUUGGCUACACUGCACAGCAGUGCACUGGCCUCUGGCCCUGCCCUGCCAUCAUUUCUCCACCUCUCACUGCCUGUUCUCCUAAAGUGCCCAGUGGCUUUGUGCUGGCUGCUGGGAGAGCAGCUACCAAAUUUUCACCCUUAGGUGCUAAUGACAGAAGGUGUAGCAUCUCCCAAGACUUUGGAGUCCAAAAAGGAACUUGAAGGAGAGAGAAAUUACUAAUGAUGAGUUUUCCAGUUCACUGGCAUGUGAGUGUGGAAAGGUUGAUUCGUCCCUCUCCAGUCACAUGUGUGGAGGCUCACUCACUCUGUGUGGGUCCGGGCCUUCAAGCUCUAGUGUUUUCUGAGCGCCCCUUCCACGUCAGGCCCCCAUCUGGGCUCUUUCCUUCAUGCAAUAACGUUAAGCCCCGUGAGGCAGGUGUUAUCAUCCUUAUUGUCCAGAUGAAAUGUGCGUACCUUAGGAACUAAAUGACUUCUCCCAAAUCACGCAGCUGCGGGCAGCAGAAGCAGGUUUCACACCCAGAUUUCUGAUGCAAACCCCAGUGAUGAUUCUCUCUGGAAGCUCAGUUCGAGCCCCUUCUAUCCAGGUCUGUCCUCACCACCCCGUCUUCCGUUUCCCUCCCCAGGUCUCUGGUCCACCCCAGAGGGGAGACUGGCAGGAGAUAAGCUUUAUUCAUUUCCGAUCCCUAAUUCUUGGAACAUACCAAACCCUUGGUGAAUUUUGCUGAAUAAAAGGGCAUUAGAAUCCAGUUGGCAAACAGGUAUUAGUUUCCUGUGGCUGCUAUAACAAAUUGCCUCCAAUCUUGUAGCUUAAAACAGUAUAGAUUUAUUAUCUCACAGUUCUGAAGACCAGAAAUUCAAAAUCAGUUUCACUGGGCCAAAAUCUAGGUGUUGGCAGGACUAUGUUCCUUCCAGAAGAUCUCAGGGAGAAUCUGUUCAUUGCUUCUUCCAGCUUCUGGUGGCCACUGGCAUUCCUCAGCUUGUGGCCAUAUCAGUCCAAUCUCUGCCUCUGUGGUCACAACUUCUCCUCCCCUGUGAGUGUUUCAAUUCUUCCUCUGCUUCCUUCUUACAAGGAUAUUUGUGAUUGCACUGGGACCCAUCCAGAUAAUCCUGGAUCAUCUCCUCACGUCAAGAUCCUUAAUUACUUCUGCAAGGACUUCGCCAUAUAAGGUGGUGACAUGGAGGCUGACACAGAGUGACUGUCGGCAGCCGGAACUCAGCCACAGGCAUCUCCCUCCUGGACCAGCACACUCGCCAAAACGGCCUGCAUUUCUCCUGUGGAACAGCCCUCAGCACUGAUCCUUGGCGCGGCUUUCCUCUCUGUGGCCCUGGGGGGCUAUAUUCUCCAGCUAAGCGCUAAGAGGGUAGCCAGAGAGCAUUCUCAAGGCUUCCAACAAACCAAGAGGGUACUAAUGGAAACAGAGAGGUGGGAGAGAGAGGAAAAGAGCAGAGACACGGAAUGUAUUCUGGUCACUUUCUCUCCUUCGGUGUAAUGGGAGUCUGUACUGGGAGGCCCCAGAGUGGGUCCUGGGAAGGGUAGCUUCAUGGUUGAGUGCAAACCUUGGAUUUAGGUUUCAACAUAAAUACAGGCCCGGUGAACAGCCAGCACCGGCAUCUGGCUGGGGUGGACCUUGUCAGUGCCUGAGGAAGACUACACCCAGUCCUAGAGACUAGCCAUCAAAGGGCAGGCAGAGGAGGAAAGCAAAUCCAGGCGUGCCUGCCCGCGUUCCAGUGAACGACAUUGUUGUAAACUCUCCAGAACAUGACUCGAGGAGAAAACGGCGACGUGCAUUGUGAAACAAAAGGUGCACGUUUUGUGUGCUUGUUCUGCAGUAACAUAAAAUAUGUCUUUUAAAUUGAAUGUGGAAAGGACAAUAGGGUGGACUGAGGGACAUUCUCAGGACCAGCGUUCCCUCAAGUAGGUGCACACCCUCAAGGCAAAGCUCAAGACAGCCCUUUGCUUGAAAAACAAGCCAUGGGUUGUCUGAGUCUGGCUGCAGAAAAUCCUGGGACCGUGCUGGACACCGCGGGCAGGAGGGCGGAGGGGCUGACUGAGGAAAGCUGCCCUCGCACCACCCUUGCAGUUGUUGGGGCCAAGGGAGGAAAGGCUGCGACUGCGGUGGCCCCCAGGCGGCCGGUGCUGGGCAGCCGAAAGGAGAGGAGAACCCGCCACGCACAAACACCGUGACCCGCGGGUCCGAACGCGCCCGGGAGCCUUCCUACGCAGCAUAGAGAUGGCAAAGGAGCUCAGGCAGAGCCAGAAACUAACGUGGAGUUUCCUCCCUCUGCAGGAGUGCCUGGGGGUGCCAGGCAGCAGCAUGGCCAGCAGCCGGGGGCACAAGUCCCCAGGCCCCAAGGAGGGUGGGGGAGGCUCAGCCCAGCACCCACCAUGGUGGACAGCGAGACAGAAGCGAGUCCAUUUGUAAACACGUAACUGACACUUUCACUUUUGUAUGUGGGGAAAAUGUUUAGAGAUUUAUCUGAAGGGAGAGGGUGAUGCUCCAGACCAUAUGUUCCGCACACAAAGCAACCAAAAAGCUGAAGGACCAGCACAAACUGCUUGACUGCAGAUCAGGCCUCGUGGAGAAGCCUGACUGGUGUCGAGAUGGGGAGCCCACUGGGCCAGAUGGAAGCAUUUGACCAGGUACUCCAGCUCCAACGAGCGACGGUCCAGUGUACACACUUGGACCACAAUUGUACUGCUAAAUAGAAUGAGGGUGGGAAGUGUUUUGUGGGUUGAAAUUAGGCUCCUUGGUUGUCUCCUCAUAAACAAGGUCUCCACUGUGUUGGGAAUUACGCCAUUGUCUCUGGACACGGCUGAGUCCUGCUGGGAAUUGUGGAAAUACAGGCCUGACCCCAAAAUGCUUCCAUCUACAUAACGUCUUGCAGUGUGUACUCUUAAAGGAGAGGAAUAGCAAUCCCUCUAAUUUGAAAGACCCAGAAAGGAAAAGGACCAAUUAGGAUGAAAACUGGCUUUGAGUAAAUAGCACAUAUAGAGAAAGAAUAAAAUAAAAAGGAAAGGCGAUUUAUGAGCUGUCCAGCAGCUGCAGCUCACUCUGAUGAGCCAAGAAAAGAACUCAAGGAAUACGAACCAGUUAUUAGAGGAAAACACCACAUCAGCUUUAGUUAGCAAGAAUGAAAAGUUGGCUACAAAACAAAGGAAGAAAAAUCCAACAGACCCUCAUUAGUGCUUGGCUCAAGUCUGUAGCAUUUAAAGCUCUUGUGAGACCAAGAGAAAAAAUUUAAAAAACAGAUCGGAAAGGGGAAGCGCAUUAUCCAAGUGAGGUCGUGCUCUCAGAGAUGAUUUAUGUUGAUUUAAAUGCACACCCCGUACACAGGAGGCCUGAAUAAGAUUUAAAAAUAUAUAUAUAUUUGGUAGAUACUUUGAGUUGAAGUGCAAGAAGACUGCACCAUUGCCAAUAUUUCAGGGACAAUAGAUGAUUUUCAUCAUGGCUCCAAGUAAGUUCAUUAAUAUCCUUAAGCCAGACUCAAAGGAUACAGAUAGGACAACAUGAAAAUAAUCUUAAAAUGUAUGAAGAAUAGGGACGGUGUGUUAGUUAAGAUAUAGGUGUGAUUGCUUUAAAAGAGAGAAAAUUUAGAGCAGCUGAUAUAAAAUGGAAGUUUGUUUCUCUCUCACAUGUAAGUCCACACAGGUGGGUGGUCCAGUGGCAUGGGAUGACUUCGGACCCCAGAGUCUAGACACUGUGUUGUUCUCCUCCACUCCCCUGGGCUGUGCCUUCACGUCCACGAUUGAAGACCACUGCUGUGUCCGACUUCCAGGCUCUAGGCAGGGGAGGAGGAAAAGGAGGUGGACAGCUUCCUUUUACCAGUACAACCAAAAAGUUGUGCUUAUCACUUCCGCUCACAGACAAUUGGCCACAACUUAGUCAUGUGGCUACCUGUAACCACCAGAGUCUAGGGAAUGCAGACUUGAGCUGGGUAACCACGUGCCAAGAUUGGAGAGAGGUGCAAAUGGAAGACAGCGGUCCGGGCACCAAGAUCGCUUCCAGUGUCUUGCUCCACUAGCCCCUGAGGCGCUGCCUCCAUCACACUCUCAAAGCCAGCCCAGCAUCACCUAGUUUGCCUUCCAGCCAGUGGGAAGGGAAGGAGAGCAUGCAAGGCAAGCAGCUUCCUUUGAAGGAUGAAACAGGAAGUUGCAUAUGUUAUUUCCAGUCAAUUCCAUUUGCUAAAACAUAGUCUUAUGGCCACAUCCCAGCUGCAAAAGAGGCUGGAAAAUGCCUGGAGGUGUGAGGGUUCCAUGAAUAACAGGAAGAAAGAGAGAAUGAAGAUUGGGAGACAGGCUGCAGUCUCAAACACGAGUAGUAUAAAAUGUAAUUGCAGAGAGUAUGUUCAGUCUACUUAAGAUACUAGCAAAUUACUCUUAGGGUCUAACAGUCCAACAGUGUUUCUAAUUAUGAAGGAUCUUUAUCAAUAAAAUGAGACCAUCUGGCUUUCCAACAUGAAAACAUUUUGUGUGUUCUUAAAAGAUGAUGAUUUUCUUUAGAAACAAUUUGUCAUUCAAAUGGCGUUCUCAGCAAUUUCGUUUGAAUUAGAGAGGCUUAACUGUAAA
rnacentral:lncRNA from 1 species